rnacentral:tRNA from 1 species
UGGAUCACCUCCUAACAGGGAGACAAACAAUGAUUUUGAUGCCUGAGUAUUUUUAUUCUUAGGCCGAAAUCCUGUCACCUUAGGUCGAUCGGUACCUCAGCGUUGAAGUAACUGGAUCAGCAGCAAUGUUGAUUUGAGUUAUGGAGAUGAUCAGUUCCUAAACUUUGUCUAGGUCACACCCCACAAGGGUUGAGUUUUUUCCUGGGCCAUUAGCUCAGGUGGUUAGAGCGCACCCCUGAUAAGGGUGAGGUCCCUGGUUCAAGUCCAGGGUGGCCCAUUCGGUGUUGGGGGUUUAGCUCAGUUGGUAGAGCGCCUGCUUUGCAAGCAGGAUGUCAGGAGCUCGAGUCUCCUAACCUCCACUGACCGAACUCAAUCUCCACUUUCCGCAUAACGGGAAAUGACUCGAAAUGCGAGGUGUGAUUUGGAUGAUGUCCGCUGGAUGACCCCAGCUUCCUGUCAUUCCAAGGAUGAGUGAGAACUCAUGAUUUGGUUGAUAAGAUGCUGGGCUCAAUUCAAGUUAUUGAGCAAUUAAUGAUUUGAUUUGGAGUCUGGCAGAACCUUGACAACUGCAUAGGUGAAGUCUGGAAAAAACAAAGCAUCUCAUGGAUGCAUUGUUUUGAGUCUGAGCAUCCGAAAGGAUGCCUAGAACCAGAGCAAUGAAAAUUCUUUUGAGCAAGAGCCGAGACUCUAAAAUGUUCUUCUUGUCGUGUCGAGCGACGAGGAGUUUGAUUUUAUUUUCAGCUUCAGUGAAAACAGAUGUUGAAAACAGAAGAAUCCGUCUCAACAACGGUAAGCAUUUUAGAGGUUAAUUGGUCAAGCUACAAAGGGCUCACGGUGGAUACCUUGGCACACAGAGGCGAUGAAGG